AGGUCCGCCCGCUGGGACGCUCUCACCGUGGGGCCGGGGUCCCGGCUACCCUGGCCGGGUGCGGGUCCCCAAGGAGCCCGCAAAGCCGACAGCCGUCGCACUCCAGGGAGCUCAUUCAUG
rfam:Streptomyces silvensis strain ATCC 53525 53525_Assembly_Contig_6, whole genome shotgun sequence.